AAAUAUGAAUGCAUUUGAAAUAUUGGACACGCUGGGAAUCGAACUUGGUUCAAAUCCAAACUGCGCGCGCCCUCACAAUACGACACCAUUUUGGCUGAAAACCCUAGCGAACCCAGAAUGGACGCAAAUCCGACGCUACUCCGACGCUAGUAUGAAGAUCUUCAUCUUCUUCAUGAAGAUGAAGAUGAACAGUAACAACAUCAAGAACAAAUUCUCCAGAAAUUCCAAACGAG
rnacentral:lncRNA from 1 species